UACGAAGGGGGCUAGCGUUGUUCGGAUUUACUGGGCGUAAAGCGCACGUAGGCGGAUCGUCAAGUCGGGGGUGAAAUCCUGGAGCUCAACUCCAGAACUGCCUUCGAUACUGGCGAUCUUGAGUCCGGAAGAGGUGAGUGGAACUCCUAGUGUAGAGGUGGAAUUCGUAGAUAUUAGGAAGAACACCAGCGGCGAAGGCGGCUCACUGGGACGGUACUGACGCUGAGACGCGAAAGCGUGGGGAGCAAACAGG
rnacentral:rRNA from 1 species